GACGAACGCUGGCGGCGUGCUUAACACAUGCAAGUCGAACGGAAAGGCCCUGCUUUUGUGGGGUGCUCGAGUGGCGAACGGGUGAGUAACACGUGAGUAACCUGCCCUUGACUUUGGGAUAACUUCAGGAACCUGGGGCUAUUACCGGAUAGGAGCUCCUGCUCCAUGGGGGGGGUUGGAAAGUUUCGGCGGUUGGGGAUGGACUCGCGGCUUAUCAGCUUGUUGGUGGGGUAGUGGCUUACCAAGGCUUUGACGGGUAGCCGGCCUGAGAGGGUGACCGGCCACAUUGGGACUGAGAUACGGCCCAGACUCCUACGGGAGGCAGCAGUGGGGAAUAUUGCACAAUGGGCGGAAGCCUGAUGCAGCAACGCCGCGUGCGGGAUGACGGCCUUCGGGUUGUAAACCGCUUUCGCCUGUGACGAAGCGUGAGUGACGGUAAUGGGUAAAGAAGCACCGGCUAACUACGUG
rnacentral:rRNA from 1 species